GUCGGAUACGGAUGGGCUCGCGAGACAUUAGCUAGUCGGCGUGGUAACGGCACACCGAGGCGACGAUGUCUAGGGGUUCUGAGAGGAAGGUCCCCCACACUGGAACUGAGACACGGUCCAGACUCCUACGGGAGGCAGCAGUGAGGAAUAUUGGUCAAUGGGCGCAAGCCUGAACCAGCCAUGCCGCGUGAAGGAAUAAGGCCCUAUGGGUCGUAAACUUCUUUUGUGGUGGAGCAAUAAGGUGCACGUGUGCAUCGAUGAGAGUACAUCACGAAUAAGCAUCGGCUAACUCCGUGCCAGCAGCCGCGGUAAUACGGAGGAUGCAAGCGUUAUCCGGAUUUAUUGGGUUUAAAGGGUGCGUAGGCUGUUCGACAAGUCAGGGGUGAAAGCCCAGUGCCUAACACUGGAACUGCCUUUGAUACUGCCGAGCUGGAAUACGGAUGCCGUGGGAGGAAUGAGUAGUGUAGCGGUGAAAUGCAUAGAUAUUACUCAGAACACCGAUUGCGAAGGCAUCUCACGAAUCCGUCAUUGACGCUGAGGCACGAAAGCGUGGGGAUCAAACAGGAUUAGAUACCCUGGU
rnacentral:rRNA from 1 species